CAACAGCAGACCACUCUCUCCUCUCCUCUCUAUCUCCAGCUCCAUCUCCAUCUCAAUCUGCUCAGCUGAGCUCUUUAUUCUCUUCUCAAUCUCUGAACUGUAUCAUCGUGUAGAACUCUAUCAUCAGGGUCUGUCAAGAUUGAAGAACUGAAGUACUUUGGAAAUCUGAAGAACUAAGAAGAUUGCAAGGAUAAAACAAAAGAGAGGAUACAAGGAUCAAUGGCCCUAGUAAAUUAAGCUUUCCACAUGAUUUUGGAAAACCCAAAGGAGAUGGAGUUCUGUCAUAUGAAGAUCCAUCUGCGGCACAUGCUGCUGGAGGGUUUUACAACAAUUACGAUUUGCGGGUUACAAAAUCAGUGUUCCAAUGGCAGCUAGAGCUGCACCUAGGUUCCACAGAGUUUAGGUAAUCUCAUAGACAGUGACAGUCAUACUGCUGGACAUGAUAUUACAGAAAAUGUCGUGUUGGCUCUUGUAAAAUGCUUGAGAUGUGAGCAUCAGGUGUUGAAAAAGGAGGCAGCCUGGGUUUUUAUCCACAUAGCAGCAGGCACAUGGAGAUUUCAAAGAAGAGAGAAUUAAUGCAUUUGUUAGUGAUGUCACCAAGGACAACCUUUGUGAAACAAUUAGUCGUAAUUCGGUUGAUAUUGUUACCUUGCCAAAUGGUUAUGUUCUUCUGCGAGAUUAUGCCACUGGUGACUUUGUGCAGGUGCCAAUUUUAUAGAAGCAGCUCACGCUAAGAAACCAGAUGAUAAGUGAGAGUUUUUACGUCCGUGGAGAUGGUACUUGUGCGUACUAUUUUUCUGAAGAUUUCUUGUCGAGAUUAUUUAAACAAGAUGGUUUUGAUCCUGUUGAAAUCAAUGUAUACUGCAAGCAAAUAGAGAACCGCUCUAAGAAUAUCACCAUGGAUCCUUGCUGUUGCGACUGCGGAUACGUGCUGUAUUCUGCAAACAAGAUCCCUGUAAAGAUCCUCCUCUGUCCAUGACUGAAGCUAGAUGACCAUAUGGUUAUUCCUUGACCAAAAAUUAAAGUCCUG